GGCGGAGGCGGCUACAGCACUGCGUUAACAUCGCGGCGGUCAGUGGUUCGAGUCCACUACCGCCCA
rnacentral:tRNA from 1 species